UAGAAAGUAAACUACUAUGCAGAUAGAUUUACUGAUGAGAAGCUUCAUAUACAACACAUAUUGACUAGCUGAACCGAUAAAUGUGACAAGUGAAACUAUGAAUACAGAUGAUAGCUUUACAAUGUCUACAAAGCAUCUACUGGAAUCCAUGACUUUACCACUAUGAAAUACGCAUAGUAAAGACUCGGCAAAGCCCCGAAUCAACCUGGAGCUCACCAACAACCGUUGAGU
rnacentral:lncRNA from 1 species